CGGGUGAGUAACACGUGGGUGAUCUGCCCUGCACUUCGGGAUAAGCCUGGGAAACUGGGUCUAAUACCGGAUAUGACCUCCUAUCGCAUGGUGGGUGGUGGAAAGAUUUAUCGGUGCAGGAUGGGCCCGCGGCCUAUCAGCUUGUUGGUGGGGUAAUGGCCUACCAAGGCGACGACGGGUAGCCGACCUGAGAGGGUGACCGGCCACACUGGGACUGAGACACGGCCCAGACUCCUACGGGAGGCAGCAGUGGGGAAUAUUGCACAAUGGGCGAAAGCCUGAUGCAGCGACGCCGCGUGAGGGAUGACGGCCUUCGGGUUGUAAACCUCUUUCAGCAGGGACGAAGCGCAAGUGACGGUACCUGCAGAAGAAGCACCGGCUAACUACGUGCCAGCAGCCGCGGUAAUACGUAGGGUGCAAGCGUUGUCCGGAAUUACUGGGCGUAAAGAGUUCGUAGGCGGUUUGUCGCGUCGUUUGUGAAAACCAGCAGCUCAACUGCUGGCUUGCAGGCGAUACGGGCAGACUUGAGUACUGCAGGGGAGACUGGAAUUCCUGGUGUAGCGGUGAAAUGCGCAGAUAUCAGGAGGAACACCGGUGGCGAAGGCGGGUCUCUGGGCAGUAACUGACGCUGAGGAACGAAAGCGUGGGUAGCGAACAGGAUUAGAUACCCUGGUAGUCCACGCCGUAAACGGUGGGCGCUAGGUGUGGGUUCCUUCCACGGAAUCCGUGCCGUAGCUAACGCAUUAAGCGCCCCG
rnacentral:rRNA from 1 species